rnacentral:lncRNA from 1 species
UGUGGAGCAACAGGCAGUUUUAAUGAAUGCCUGAAGGCAGACCUUCAGGCCAUUUCAGGCCGAGGCCUAAAAUGGCAUCAGCCCCAAAUGAGGACGGGCAGGGGUUUUACAGUCUCCCGUAAACAGGAAGUGUUUCAGUCUGUGUAUCUACUGCUACGUGAUACCCGGUAGGCCUCUCUCUGGGUCUUCAGAACAGCUCUCUCCCCGCUUCUGCUAUCUUGCUGACGCACGCUGAUGACGUAAGCCGCCUUGCGCCUUGGGACUGGGCCUGAGAAGGGAGGAGUUAUUCAGGCCUCCGCCAGCUUCUAGGCCCUGGGGAUGGUCUUUCACCUCCCUCUUUCUGAUCUCUUUUUCAUGCUCCUCCUUGCUCCAAAGAAAAGCCGGAUGGCAAAAGAGCCCAGAACCUAUUGGAACUGACAAAAUCAAGUCACGGCGCCUACAAAGAUGAGGGGCAGAUUCUGGCUGCCUUUUAAUUUCGUCCUUCACCUGAUAUCUGUGCCAGAGAAUGAUAAAAAUCAUAAUAAAGGAAAUAAUGGAAGAGGAGACUUAUGUUACUGGGGACAUCUAACAUAAUUAUUUUCCUGAUUCAGUGGCAUGGUUCAGUCUUCCAGGAGUUCUGCUACAGAGAAGAGAGUAACCCCCAUCCAUCAUGGCCAAAGCACCCAGUCAGGCUCCGCUCUGGAUCCAGCCCGACAAAUGCAACCCUUGAAUAGGGUUUGUGCAAGCAAACUGGAUGACGACCGAAGAAACCCUGUCGCUUCUGAGAAGACACCCAAUCCAAGAAUGUGAGUUCUGGAAAUGUCAUUAAAUGUCAGUUAUAUACAUGCUUACGUGUCCAUAUUAGCUAUGCAAUCACCAUCAGCAAGUUCUUUUUCUCAACCAAAAAAAGAAGUAAAUUUCUCUGCUAAUUAAAUAUUUCCUCAGGCCAGCCACAGCAUCCAGCUGAAAUAAGAAUUUUAAUGGGAAAAUACCUUAUCUGUAUUCAGUGUUGACUCCAUGCUAAUUUGAGUGUUUGAGAUGGCUAUUAGGUGCUGUAACAUUAAAUAAUUUACAAAUACUUAAAUAUUUGAACCAUAACUACAGUUUUAAAAUAAGUUUACUCAUCUAAGAGUGAAGAUUCUCUUACAAUCUGCAAGUCUAUAGCUCAACUUUUACAUAUUCAUGUUUUAUAUUCAUUUUCAGGAAAGCAUCAGGUUCAAUACCUAGGAACUCCUGUAGAGGGUGUUGUGGAAUCUUCUUUAAAAGAACAAAACAAGGCAAAACAAAGUUUAAUAGGGUAGAGCAGCCAGGUGUGGUGGGUCAUGCCUGUAAUCUCAGCAAUUUGGGAGGCCAAGGCAGGAUCUCAGCAAUUUGGGAGGCGAAGGCAGGCAGAUCACUUGAGCCUAGGAGUUCAAGACCAGCUUGGGCAACAUAGCAAGACCCUGCCUAUACCAAAAAAAAAAAGUGAACCUAGGAGUAUGAGGCUGCAGUAAGCUGUGGUUGUACCAGUGCACUUUGGGAGGCCAAGGUAGGCGGGUCUUCUGAGAUCGAGAGUUUGAGACCAGCCUGACCAACAUGGAGAAACCCCGUCUCUACUAAAAGUACAAAAUUAGCCGGCAUGGUGGUGCAUGCCUGUAAUCCCAGCUACUCGGGAGGCUGAGGCGGGAGAAUUGCUUGAACUCAGGAGGCAGAGGUUGUGGUGAGCCAAGAUCGCGCCAUUGCACUCCAGCCUGGACAACAAGAGCGAAACUCCAUCACAAACAAACAAACAAUAAACAAAAACCAUAGAGUGAUUUCUGGCCAACAGAGCAAGAAAGAAGUGAACCAAUGAAAACCGGUCCAAGUCUGGGAGUCAAUAUGGAAAAGCUGCCUAAUUAAUGUGGAAGCCCCAGGGAAAUGAUAUACCAUGAAAACCUAACACUACAAAAACUAGUUGUCAGACACAUGUGAGCAGUGAACAGAAUCCUAAUAUGCUGGUUUAACAUUCAAAACUGGAGAGUGUUUGUGUAUCUUCUAAAGACUGUUUGGGGUUUAUUUGUGGAGUUCAGCUGAGUGUCAUCAGAACAAAGAUUAGUGCAAAAAAUCUUUCAGAAAUCAUGCCCAAACAUUUGCAUGCACCUUAAAUAAGAAAUGAAAUAGCAAGAAGAGUAUGUCACAAUAAAGUAUAAAUAGCAAGUGAUAUGUCUCAUCGUACUGAGACAGUUUUAUAAAUGAGGCAAAGGCCUUGUCAAAAAAUAAUGAUGAUUUUCAAAAUUCUGAAACGCAAAGGAGGAAAACUACUUCAUUCAGUUAACAGGAAGCACACAAGAAUCUCCCCAUCAACCAAGAUUUUUUUUUUCUAUAACCCACGCUUUGUAAGACAAUAAUAGCAAAAACUAUAAACUAGAAUUUGUUGAAAGAACAACUUCUAGAAUUUGCCCUUUAUGUGCUGUUUUACCAUUGUCAUGUCUGUCUCUGGUAUGACUUCCUCAUCUAUUAGUAGCCUCCUAAUAAAUUUGAACAAAUGAAUGAAUGAAUAAGAGACAACUAAGCAUGAGGUAUUGCAAGAUGGUAACUCAUCCAGGGAAAAUUAAAACCUGGAGUGGAUCAGAUGGAAAAACAAAAUAAGACACUAGAAAAAAAUCACCAGGAGGGUUUCAAACCAAAAGAUCCCCUGGUUAACCUUCAGCUAAUUAUAAGAUUUAAUUAACUAGAAAAACUCAAUCCUUGUUUAUUCUAUUUAAUUGAGAUUUUACCAUAUUUAAAAUGAUGUUACUCAAGUGUUCUCAUUAAUAUUUAAUGAAAGUGUGAGAGAAUUGGCUAACCAAAUUUACUGUGCUUAGGUAAACUGUAAUUAGGAAGGGUUAGCAGAGCAUCCCAAGGGACCUAUCAAUCACAAAAUGAAGCGAUACAAUUACAGAUGAAUUUCAACAAGGAAACACACAAAACAGUGAUCCUCAAAAAAGAUGGAAUAAAAUUACUUGAAUGUGGUAGUCGGUUCUGAGAAAUGCAAUCAAUCACAUGUCAUUUCAGACAACUCAGAAGGAAUAACCCUACCCAACAGACUUGAACUCUUUGUGUGUGUGUGUGUGUGUGUGUCUGUGUGUGUGAUAGAAUUUCACUCUUGUCGCCCAGGCUGGAGUGCAGUGCGAUCUCGGCUCACUGCAACCUCUGCCUCCCAGGUUCAAGCAAUUCUUCUGCCUCACCCUCCCUAGUAGCUGAGAUUAUAGGUGCCCACCACCACACCCGGCUAAUUUUGUAUUUUUAGUAGAGAAGGGGUUUCACCAUGUUGGCCAGGCUGGUCUCGAACUCCUGACCUCAGGUGAUCUUCCCACCUGGGCCUCCCAAAGUGCUGGGAUUACAGGCAUGAGCCACUGCACCUGGCCCAGACUUGAACUCUUGAUUGCAUGAAAGUGUAUUAAUCUUCUAUCUGCUUAUUCCCAAUUUCCCAGCUGAUAAAAUGCCCCACUGUUAUUUCACUUAAAUUUGGAAUAACCUGCAUCUAGUUAAGUUGGAGCUACUUUGUCUUGUUGCAGAUUUUCUUUUGCUUUGCUGUCUUCAUUCUAACUUGGCAGAGCCCAGGUGCUUUGUCUCUAUUUGCCUGCAAGACCUCUUUUCCAAGACAUGUCAGGUUUCUCUCUAAAGUACCUUCCACCUGGAGGAUAUCUGUUCUUGUUCUUUAAUUCCUGGCCCUAUUUCCUAUUCAUCUGAAAAACUAGGCUUUGUGAGCAGGAUCAUGCAUGGCAAUGAGUUCUAAUGAGUUUUUAAUGUUUCACACUUCAUGAUGAACAUAUAUUUGCAUUUCAGAAAAUGCUUUUAAGGAAUGUUUUUUUUUUUCUGCCCUCACUCCUAACUCAGUUGCCUUUAAGCAAAACCAAAGAGAGCCAUGGCCAGCCUGUUCAAAUGGCUGCAAUCAUUUAAGCCCCUCUCGCUGCACCCUGGCCCCUCUUGCCUCCCUAGCCUGCCCAUGCUUGCCCCUGUCUCAACUUCUACCCCCACUCCAGCUGAAGAGAUUUGCCAUUCUCAGCUUUCACCUUUGGGGAUCCCUCUUGACCAUGGUUAGCAAUUGCUGUGACCAUCCUCACAUCACAGAUUUUUGGGCUUCUGUUUCUUAGGACAAUGCCUGCUCUCCCUGCUAGCCUAUCCCUCAUCCCAGGCCCUCCAACCUCCAGCCACUGCAACUCUAGAGCCACAUCCUAUCCCAUUGACUAACCCAACUGCCAAGCCAAGCCCAAUCCCCAGACCUGGAGCUCAGAGAAAUUAUUAAUCCAAUCAAAGGCACUAAAGUUGGGAUUCUGACUCUGAAGCAGGUACCAAAUUUUGGACAGAGAGGGGCUCCUGAAACCAUACUAUUCCUGCAUUAAGUGUCUGGCACUAGGCAGGGGAUAUGAUGUGAUCUAACAAGGCCAUGCACUGGAAUUAACCUGCGUGAGCUCCACUUGGCUGCCCUCUAAAGGUCAAUGCAUUGUUUGAGCCUAGGGGAGCCAGUCACUGCUACAUCAAUGGCUGCAUCACGGUAUCCUUUUUAGGACUAAACCUGCAUUUUCCUAAUAUUCAGGUCUGUAGAAACUUUGACUGCAAGAAUUUUACAGGAAUGGGUAAAUAUCUGUAAGUACUUAAAAGUAUAUAUGGUAAUAUACAAUAUGAUAGAAGAAAUAAGACCUAAUGUUAGAUAGAUCAGCAGGGUAAUUAUAGUUUACAACCAUCUUUUGUACAAUUCAAAAUAGCUACAAGAGAAAAAGGUGAGUGUUUUUAGCAUAAAGAAAAGACAAAUACUUAAUGGAUAUCCCAAGUAUACUGAUUUGAUAUUUACAAAUUAUACAAAUGUAUUAAAUUGUCAUGUGUACUCCAAAACUAUGUACAUUAUUAUGCAUCAAUUAACAAAAGAUAAAAGUAUGUAUGAAUCAGUAAGUACUUCUAAGGACCUGUAAAUCCAUAUAAGUGCACAUUAGUAUAAGAGAACUAAGGAGAAUUUGAGAUCAGUGUUUACACAGUGCUAGCAUUUUGUUAUCUAAAACACCUCUUUUUCAACUCUAUCAAAGAUUGAAUGCAUUUUUUAAUUCAAGGAAUAUAAUAUUCAGGAUGAUUAUUUUUAUUACAGCUGUGGGCUUUUUCCUUGGGCAUUGAACGCUUCCAUUUAGUUCAACUACUUAUUAUCUUUUCUUCUCCUCUUCUUUUUUUUUUUUGCUUAACUUUCUAUUUCUUUCCCAGUAAUAACAUAUAUUUUCUCAACUUCUUAAAUCUCUUUAUUAGAUACAGUCGAAUGUAAUUUGGAAUUUACGAGUCUUAUCACAUUCUCAUUCUGCUUGAGCAAUUCAAGAUAUAAGAAAAACAGACUGUCUACAUUUCUUCAGAGUUCCUCCAACUAUUGGCUUAAAAUUCCUGAAAUUAAAAUUAUAGUUCUUUGACAUCGCUUCUGUCUAAUCAUUGCUGAUACCUGGAAAACACCAAAUGGCUUACUUACACAGUGUCCCACUCUGAAAUUUCUCACAUAAAGGAUUGUCUUACACAGAAAUACUGACCAUUUUGACAAGGGAAUGGCCCUAGAAUUGGGCCAGAGCUAAAAAUAAGCAGAAUAAACAAUUUUGAUAUUCUUCUUCAAUGGUCAUAAAUCUAGUUAGCAUGUUAUCAUUUACAUAUUAUGAUUUUGUUCAUGAUAGUUGUAGUAGAAUGGCCUAAAGAAAUCAAGAUCUGUUUUAUCUUCUACAUUACUUUAGUUACUGUAAGACUGAUAACUCACAUUGUCGUUUACCAAGUAUUUCCAUUUGUUCCUUGGAAUAAUCCUGUGAAGUGGGUAUUUUUUAUCACUAGUUUCAUAUAAUGAAUAUAUUACUGUUAAUGUCAAUACAUUCUAUUUAUCCAGCUCACUUAUUCUAGUAUUCUCUCUGCAGUGAUUCUUUAAUCUCAUUGAGAAGCCCCCAUGCCCAAUACACGCCUCCUAUCUUCAUACACGCCUCCUAUCUUCAUUUCCCUCCUUCCCCAACUCACACCCUUGAAAACAUUCUUAUCUCUCUUGUUUCUUUUUCUGUUGUCCUUGACUGGCAAAUUUGGAGGCAUGGAUGUACCCAACUCUUUGCCAUUUGGGGCUACCCCCAACUAGCCAAAUACUGCUAGAGAAACUCUCCUGAAUGAUUUCACUCUAAGUUCUAUGAACUUCAAAUGGGCAUUUAAGGAUACCUGGCAGUCCUACUAUGUUUUCCUAAUAAAUUUCAUUUUCCUCUUUCAAAAUUGUUAUUUAUUCUCCCGUCUCCUCCAACCUCCCAUAUCCCCACCUCCACACUCACUCUCUGCUGCUGAUGACCUCACUUCAUACUUUAUUGAAAAAAAUAGAAGCCUGCAGAGGAGCAACACUUUCAUACUGCUCCCACUGUAUCUAAAAAUCUCUAAGUUUCUGUGCCUGUCUUAGUCAGCUUGGGCUGCCAUAACAAAAUACCAUAAAAUGAGUGGCUUAAACAACAGAAAUUUUUCAUCUCAUAUUUUGAAGACUCAAAAUGUUGGCAUCGUUGGUACCUGGUGAGGGCUCUCUUCCUGGCUUGCAGACAGCUGCCUGCUGGCUGGGUCCUCACAUUGUCUUUUCUUGGUGCAUGCAUGAGGGAGAGAGUGCUAGUGUCUCUUCCUCUUCUUAUAAAGACACCAGCCCUAUCAAAUUAAGGGGUAGCUCUAUGACCUCAUUUAAAUAGAAUUAUCUCCCUAAAGACCUUAUCUUCUAAUAUAGUCACAUUUGAGACUGUGGCUUCAACAUGAAUUUUGGGGAGACAGAAUUCAGUCCUUCAGAGUGCCUGUGUUUUUCAUCUUACCAUAUGUUACAACAGAAAAAAAUGUCCCUGCUCUCAUCAAAAAUCAGUAACCCCCAGUAUGUUCUGGCUCCUGCCCGUCUCACUUUCUUAACAUUACUGACCCCCUCAUCUCUUCCUUCUCUUACAUAACUAGGGUUAUCCUUCUCACAAGCACACAAACACGCUCCUCCCUUGACUCCAUAAUCCCUCUCCAUCUCCCAACUCAUUUUUCUACCCCCUGUAAGCACCACUUCUCUAACAAAUUAUCUAAAAUUACUGCUUCCCCUUCCUCAACAAUCUAUUCCCUCAUCAGAAGACUUAAAACUGGCUAAUGUAGCUUCUGGGACUCAGAAAAUGAAAGCCCAAAAUAUGACACUUCAGACUUCAAACUGAGAGCACAUGGAGAGCAGCAAAUGCAGAGAAGGACUUUCCCCAAAGGUCCCUCCCUACCUAAACACAGGAUUCUCCUAAGAUACUCAAUCAUUGUCAAUCGCUUCCCCAGGGUAUCUCAAUGACUGGGAGAAGACUGAAGCCUAUCCCAGGAAAAGAAGACUAGAAUUGAUGACACACCAGGAGUCCAGAUGGGCUUUGUCUCAGACUACCAUCUGUUCUUCAGGCCCAUUCAUCUUCCCUAAAACUCAUUUACUCCUCCUCUAAAUUGUCUGCAUCCCACCCUUCCCCCUCCCUGUGAAGAAGGGUAUAUAAGCUUCUAAAUCCCAUUGGGUCAUUGGACACUCACCUUCCUGGAAUGCACGCAUACACAUAAUAUAUGUGUUAGCCUUUUCUCUCGUUAAGUGAUCUGUUAGUUUAUUUCUCAGACUCAAAUAUCAGACAUGCAGAGUGGAAAGAAAGGGCUCUCUCACCCAACAUGGCUCAUCUCAAGCUCAUCAAAAGCCCCCAUGUUCCAAAUUCAAUGGACGCCUCACUUGUCUUUUUUUUUUUUUUUUUUUUUUUUGAGACAGAAUCCUGCUCUGUCACCCAGGCUGGAGUGCAGUGGCAUGAUAUCGGCUCACUGCAACCUCCACCUCCCAGGUUUAUGCGAUUCUCCUGCCUCAGCCUCCCGAGUAACUGGGAUUACAGGUGCGCCACCGUGCUCAGCUAAUUUUUUUAUUUUUAGUAGAGACAGGGUUUCACCAUGUUGCCCAGGCUGGUCUUGAACUCCUGACCUCAAGUGAUCCACCGGCCUCAGCCUCCCAAAGGGCUGGGAUUACAGAGGUGAGCCACUGUACUGGGCCGCACUUAUCUUACUUGAUCUUUCAAGAACACCUGACCCAGUCAACUGCUCCUCUUCCCUGAAAACCACAUCACACUCUCCUGGUUUUCUUUCUGCAUCCCUGGCUGCUCCCUCUGCCUCUCCUUUGCUGGCUUCUGCUUCUCUUUCAAGCCUCUAAAUGUGGGAAUACCCUAGAACUUGCUCCUAGAUCCCCUUUUCUUCUCCACCUAUCUCCAGAGCUAAGUGAGCUCAUUCUACUCUCUGGCUUUGAGUCCUAUCUCUCUGGCGAUGACACCCAGAUUGAUAUGUGCAGUUCUGACCUCUCCCUUGAGCUCCAGACUCAUUUAUAUGGUCGAAAUGCCCAUCUGACAUUUCCAAUUGGACGUCUAAUAGUCUUGUCAAAUGUAGCAUAUCCAAAACAUAACCUUUGACUUCCCUCUUUUCCAGUCUUCCCCAUCUCUAUGGAUGGUAAUGAACUGCUCAAGCCAAACAUUUAUCAUUCGGAUUCCUGUCCUUCUCUUCUCUCCUAUACCCGGGCUUUUGACGAUUCAGCCGUAAAUCCAUCUACUUCUCUUUAUCGGUACUUCUAUUGCCUCAUUCAAGGCACAUCAGCUCUUGUCUGGAUGGAAGCCAUGGCCCCAUAAGUAGUCUUUCUGCUUCAAUUGCCUGACUGCCACACAUUCUCUAUGCAGCUAUCAGAGUACUCUUUUAAAAACUUAAAUCAUACUUGUCAUACAUGACAUAUUGUCAUGCCCUUGCUCAGAACCCUUCUGAGGCUUCACUUAUUAUUAGAAUAAAACUCAUCCUCACCAAGGCUUGCAUCCUACAACAUAACCUGACUUAGUAGGUCUAUUUCCUCCUUUGCUCUCUGUAUUGGUCCAUUUACAUUGCUGUAAAUAAAUGCCUGAGACUGGGUAGUUCAUCAGGAAAAGAGGUUUAUUUGGCUCACAGUUCUGCAGGCUGUACACAAAGCAUCGUGCCAGCAUCUGCUUCUGGUGAGGGAUUCAGGAAGCUUAUAAUCAUGGCGGGAUGUAAAGGAGAGCCAGCACAUCACAUGGAUAGAGAGAGAGAGAGAGGAGACAGUGCCAGGCUUUUUGAAACAACCAGAUCUUGUGUGAACUCAGAGAAUAAGAACUCACUCAUUACUGCCGAGACAUUCAUGAGGGAUCUGCCCCCAUGACCCAAACACCUCUCACUAGGCCCACUUCUAACACUGAAGCUCACAUUUCAACAUGAGAUUUGGAGGGGACAACCAUCCAAACCCUAUCACCCUCCAUGAUCCAUUCUUUCUGCUUCUCAAAUAUGCCAUGUUUAGGGCUGCUGUUCCUCUGCCUUGAGCGUUCCUGUUAGUGCUUCAGGUCUUAACUCGAAUGUCAACCCCUCAGAGUGACUUUUGCUACUCCCUAUGGAAUGCUCACCUCCCACCCCCGCCAUCAGCAUUUAUUUCGACUUCUUUCCUACCACUUAGCACAGUGAGCUCCAGGAGGGCAGGCUUUUGUCUGGCAUGCUCCCUGCACAUUCUCCAGCACCAAGCACAGACCUGGCACACAAUGAAUGUUCACUGAAAGAAUGAAGUUGAUCUCAGACUCUCCACCCAGCUCCAGGCUGCCAAAAUAAGCCCCUAAUUGCCUUCCCUGCUUCUCCUUUUGUUCCUGCCCCAUCUGUCUCCUAGGGAGAAUUGUCUCAGCUAGACCAGUCCUGGGCUCUUCACACAUCAGAGUUAGAGAGUUGACAGGGAAUUAAUAGAAGAUAGAACCUGAAAGGCUUAGGAGGGGUAAGACUUGGAGAAAUCUGUUGUCAGUCAAAAAUAAUAAAGUACAGAGGUGUAUGUGAGGAGGUAGGGGAGGGAGUACAGGAAGGGGAAAGAAAUCUAUAUAGUCCAGGUGUAAGUGAGAAAGUUCUUUCAGCAUUUGUCAAACUUGAGUUUGGGAGAGGGUGUGGGAAAUAAAUAACUGAGAAGAGUAAAUGGGAUUGCAGCAUAGAUGAGGAUUCUGAAUUAGGGCCACUCUGUCACCCAGGCUGGAGUACAGUAGUGCGAUCAAAGCUCACUGCAGCCUGGAGCUCCUGGUCUCAAGCAAUCCUCCCACCUCAGCCUUCCAAGUAGCUGGGACUACAGGCAUGUGCCACCAAACUCAGCUAAUUUUUUUUUGCAUUUUUUUGCAG